rnacentral:rRNA from 1 species
UUAUGUGAUCGUCUCUCGCAUAUCAAUAAGCGGAGGAAAAGAAACUAACAAGGAUUCCCCUAGUAACGGCGAGUGAAGCGGGAAGAGCUCAAAUUUGAAAUCUUAAAGGGUUUCCCUUUACGAAUUGUAGUUUAAAGAAGUGUUUUCUGUUGAGGUUUUGGUAAAAGUUCUUUGGAAUAGGACAUCAUAGAGGGUGAGAAUCCCGUAUUUGACCUUUACUUUCAACUUUGUGAUACACUUUCAAAGAGUCGGAUUGUUUGGGAAUGCAGUCCAAAAUGGGUGGUAAAUUUCAUCUAAAGCUAAAUAUUGGCGAGAGACCGAUAGCGAACAAGUACCGUGAGGGAAAGAUGAAAAGAACUUUGAAAAGAGAGUUAAACAGUACGUGAAAUUGUCAAAAGGGAAGCGUUUGACACCAGUGUUGUUUUUCUGAAAAUCAAUUAAAGAACUGUUUAUGCUAAGCUGUUUAGACUUUAUCAGCUAACUGUUUAGUUUUGAGCUUUUCUUUAAUGCACUUUUCAGUUAACAAGUCAACAUCAAUUUCUUUUGCUGUAAAAAAGCUUGAGGAAGGUGGCUUGAGAUUCGUCUUAAGUGUUUAUAGCCUCUUGCCUAUGCAGUCGGAGAGAUUGAGGUCUGCAGCGUAGAUCCUUCGGGGCUAAAUGCAUUUGUGCUAAGUUAUAGCAUUUUAUAGACAACUUGUUGACUAUGAUUUGUCUUGUAGCUUACUCGCUUAUGUUAUUUUACCUACGCUUAGGAUGUUGAUCUACAGAGCGAGAGU